UGAGGAAUAUUGCGCAAUGGGGGAAACCCUGACGCAGCGACGCCGUGUGAGCGAUGAAGGCCUUCGGGUCGUAAAGCUCUGUCAGAGGGAAAGAAAGGGCCGGAGGAAUAAUACCCUUCGGCAUUGACGGUACCCUCAGAGGAAGCACCGGCUAACUCCGUGCCAGCAGCCGCGGUAAUACGGAGGGUGCAAGUGUUAUUCGGAAUCACUGGGCGUAAAGAGCACGUAGGCGGAUUGGUAAGUCAGGUGUGAAAUCCCGGGGCUCAACUCCGGAACUGCAUUUGAUACUGCCAGUCUUGAGUGAGGUAGAGGGGAGUGGAAUUCCCGGUGUAGAGGUGAAAUUCGUAGAUAUCGGGAGGAACACCAGAGGCGAAGGCGACUCCCUGGGCCUCUACUGACGCUGAGGUGCGAAAGCGUGGGGAGCAAACAGG
rnacentral:rRNA from 1 species